UUAAAAUUACUCUACUCUUCAAUUUUAUCAAAAUAUCUAUUCAUAUCUAUCCUUAUUUCUUUAUAAAAUCCUAAUUUCGCUAAAUUCCUAAUUGAUACCCUAAUUUCACAAAUAAACACAAAUACAGAAAGGAAAGAAAGGGAACAGGGGGAGCUCGAGGGGGGAAACGGAGAACAGGGAGAGAGAGUGACGGAACAGAGUAAGAAGAGAGGAAGGAGGAUCGCCGCGCUGUGCCGCUCCUUGUACCGGUUGCCGUUGCUGUCAUCAGAGCCAGAGAAGAAGAGAAGCAAAACCGCGAAGAGAGAGAGAUCGAAGGAGACGUUCACUCACUCAUUGUUGUCGCUGCCAUGCGUUGCCUCUGCUGCUGGUUCAGCUGCCGUCGAGCUCGCAGCAACCGUCACCAUGGAGACCGCCACUAUCAUCUCCGAAGCUGCGUCGUCGAUUAGGUUAAGGAGGGAGAGAAUCGUAAACAACCGGAGGAGGAGAAGAACGUGUGGUGGUGGGUGUUCUCUUAGCCAGCGUCGUUGAAGGAUGCUCCGCCACCGCCGCCGCCGGAAUCACGAGCUGAGGUAGAGGAGGAAGCUAUCUUCCCUGUUGUUGUAGUCACCGUAAUUCUACUGCUAUGGCUUCGUUUCCUUGUUUUCUUUAAUUAUUGAUUAAGCUGCUGCAGCUGUGGACUGUGACGAUCGAUUUUCCGAAAGAAUCGUUGCUGCUAUGAACUAUUUCAGCCCUGCCCUGGUAUUGCUUGAUUACCAUAGCCUCCUUCAUCCUUGUAUCUGAAUCUGUAUCACUCACAACCUAUUUUGAUUAUUGUUAUCUCUGCUUGCCGCUUCAUUGUUAUAGGAAAAAUCCCCAAAAAUGUUUUUGUUUCCAUCUAGCCUCUGUUAUCGCGAUUGUUGAUGACAUCGCUGCUGCAGAGGGUCAUCGGCGUCACUGUUGCGGUUGCUGCCACAAAUUAGGAAUAAAAGGAACUAUUGCGUUAAAUUCUGCAAUUGCGACAUCGAGUGACACAGGUUUGAAGACGCAAUUUGAAGCUGCGAGCCAUUAUGACACAGGUUUGAAGACGCAAUUUGAAGCUGCGAGCCAUUAGUAGGUUUUCUUUAUGGUUUUAAUUGCUUUCAUAGAGUCCCCUCGCUCUUUUCCUUUGAAGUUUUAUUUUAUCAGAGGGGUAGGUAUUGUAUUUGGGUUUAUAUGACUUCCUAUGUAUAAGAAUUACUAUUAAUAAUACUUAUAUGAUUGUCUUAUUAUUUGCAA